CACCAGCUUUAUACACACACACUUUAAUUUGUAAUUUUAUCUUCUCCACACAAAUUCUCACUUGUAAUUUCUUUUAUCCCACACUACCCAAAACUAUUUUUAAUAAAUCAACAGUUGUUGAAAUAAAUAGCCCAAUCAUGCUGCAAGAUGUGCACAUUUUUCAAUUAGAUUUUUUUUGUGCGAGGAGGAAUUGUGUUCCUCUUUGGCUGCAAGACCAGAAGUGCAACACAUUUAUAGAGUAGAUGAAUGGAUCUCAUUUUAAAAUCAUCUCCUGUAAAGAUGCAAUAAAAUUUCAAAAAAGUAUUGAAGAGCUUUAAAAAAAAAUCCCCGACAUUGACCAUGGCAGAACGAAUUAUAAGUUUUGAACGAAUUAUAAGUUUUGAACAGUAUAGGUCCUUAAUGCCAAAGGUUAAAAUACUCAUAAUCCAAGUGGAGCAGAUAUUUGACCAAGAACCACAAACGGUUCACUUGUGCAACUGUUGAAAACACAUUUGGCAAAUGAUAUUACUAUACUAUAUAUUAAAUACAAGCCUAUUACCACGUCAUUUUUUUCAGAACUGCAUUAUUUGCUCCCUCAAAUUAUAACGAAGAUGUACUCCAAAAUGUUCAAAUAGAGGGAAAUUUGCAGUAGGUUUAUAGUCACAUCCUUUGAAAGAACUGGCUAUUCAUGGAAAGCGACUUUUUUCCGGUUGGAAAUGGAGGAAGAGCUGAUUGGUAUACAAAAUAUGUCCCAUCCAAGAGUCUUCGACCUGAAAGGUUAACCGCUCGUUGCUGAUUUCCCUCGAUGCUACAGUGUAUAGUGAGUGUUCAUACUGCGUGUCCCCCGGCAGUUUUUAAAUUCAGGAUUUCCUCUUCCGCGUGUACCCGACGUUUCUUCACACAAAAAAAAAUCUUACUCUAAAAAGGAUCUUCGAACCGAAAAAAAAUUGUCUUGACAUAGGAAACUACAGAAACUGGAAGAUGGAGUCGACGAACUGCUGAAGUAAUUUACCGGGUCAAGAAGCAUCUAAGAAAAGGGACUGUCGAUAUUUCGGGUGCAGACCAGGAUCUGGAUGCCACAGGGUCUCGACCUCAAAUAUCGACUAUUCCGUUGCCUCCACAGACUACCUAUACCGCUGAGUUCCUCCAGAAGUUUGACGUUUUUGCACUGCAUUGCGUCUGCGAUGAGCAAUACACCACACAAAAUCAAGCACACUUUCAGGUGUCCGCAAUUUCCUACACGGGUUACGUGGGAACCAUUUACAAUGUAAUUAAUCUUAUCCUAUGAAACUUGUUCACCGCCAACUUUCAACAACACACCGCAGUACGAAAUAAUGCGGUUUCAGAUUGAUUAUGCAGAAUGGAAUUCGGUUGCUUGUGUUUUAUAUAAAACUGUACGAAGUAUUGACAGAUUCGUGCAGUACAUAGCUACGUUUGAUACAACAAGCAAAAUUAAAUACAUAUCCAGCCGCACCCUCCAACCUAAACCGGGCUAGAUAUAACAAUCAAAAGGAACGACACAGAUCUAAGACGGGUAAUAAUCUUCUCGGAACAAAUAAAAGACAUCAGGGAACUCUAUUUGUGGAAACGAAAUAACUGAUAAUUUUAUUCAUCAAAUACUAACAUUCAAACUUCAUUAUCAAGCAGUAAUUUAAAAGAGUUAAUUUGCUCAGUAAUAUUUGCGAAAACUGAUCCAAACAACACGUAAUUAAAAAGCCAACUGGUCCCGGUUUUUAUUGUCAAAGUAAUUAAAUCACAAGGUGUCCUGCUGGAAAGAGCCUGCGUUAACUAAAACUUAAGCUUUUGUGUACUACUAUAAUUUCAAUUAGUUUCCCCUUUCCCAAGCCACUUGUUACACUUUGUACUUUUCCUCAAUAGCGCAGGUACACGCUGCCAAUGCAUUGAAGCACCUCUGGCGGAGAGGUUCCAGCUCCCGGGCCGCCGCGCCAGCCGCCCGGUUCCGGCCACUGUUACGUGGACAAUAGGCCGCCCGAGCCAAACGGCCGGCGCUCCCCUCCCGGGCCCGUUCCACCGGCUUCAGGGUGUAACUAUAUUGUUGGGAAUCGUGAGUUUCUGGCUGUCGAGGAGGCCCUCGAGGCAUAGUGACACUGGCUGGAUGGGGCAGAACACUUCUUUCUGAACUCCUCCGAAAAGGAAGGUGUCCACAUCUACUUGCAACAAGAAGUAAACAACCAUUUAGGAAUGGGUUAAUACCAACUGUGACACUGUCAACCUUGACAUCUGUGAGUCACUAUAGUUGGGAGCUCAACUGGACAGGCAGCACAAAUACUAUCAGAAAGUGGUAUUCUUUGGUGACAGACUCGAUUUUUGAUUUGAGUGAUGCUGCGGACCGGCACAUUGCAGGCUGCAGGAGUUUGUGCUGAAGUUUGGUACAACUACCACAAAGGCUCAGUGAAGGAGGACCAUGGUAUAGGAUUCUUCUGCCACUGGACAGGGAGGG